GAUGAACGCUGGCGGCGUGCUUAACACAUGCAAGUCGAACGAUGAAGCCCAGCUUGCUGGGUGGAUUAGUGGCGAACGGGUGAGUAACACGUGAGUAACCUGCCCUUAACUCUGGGAUAAGCCUGGGAAACUGGGUCUAAUACCGGAUAGGAGCGCCUACCGCAUGGUGGGUGUUGGAAAGAUUUAUCGGUUUUGGAUGGACUCGCGGCCUAUCAGCUUGUUGGUGAGGUAAUGGCUCACCAAGGCGACGACGGGUAGCCGGCCUGAGAGGGUGACCGGCCAAAAGGGGACGGGAACACGGCCCGGACCCCUAGGGGGGGCAAGGGGGGGGAAUUUUGCCAAAGGGGGGAAGGCCGGAAGGAGGGCCGCCGGGGGGGGGAUGACGGCCUUGGGGUGGUAAACCCUUUUAGGGAGGGAAGAAGGGAAAGGGCGGGUACCUGAAGAAGAAGCACCGGCAAACUACGU
rnacentral:rRNA from 1 species